AACGAACGCUGGCGGCGUGCUUAACACAUGCAAGUCGAACGCGAAAGGGACUUCGGUCCUGAGUAAAGUGGCGCACGGGUGAGUAACGCGUAGAUAACCUGUCUUCAUGUCUGGAAUAAUACGCCGAAAGGGGUACUAAUACCGGAUAUUCUUGCUUUUCAUAAGUUAUGCAAGCAAAGGUGGCCUCCGCAUAUGCUACUGCAUGAAGAGGGGUCUGCGUACCAUUAGCUAGUAGGUGGGGUAAUGGCCUACCUAGGCGACGAUGGUUAGCGGGUCUGAGAGGAUGAUCCGCCACACUGGCACUGGAACACGGGCCAGACUCCUACGAGAGGCAGCAGUGAGGAAUAUUGCGCAAUGGGGGAAACCCUGACGCAGCGACGCCGCGUGAGUGAGGAAAGGCCUUCGGGUCGUAAAGCUCUGUCAAGAGGAAAGAAGUGUACAAUGGCUAAUACCUGUUGUAUUUGACGGUACCUCUAAAGGAAGCACCGGCUAACUCCGUGCCAGCAGCAGC
rnacentral:rRNA from 1 species